AUCUAGGGUUUUAGACAAAGCGAAAACAAAAACCCAUAUCAAAACCAAAAGGAAAAUAGAAAGAGACAAUGUUUCCAGGAAUGUUUAUGAGAAAACCAGACAAAGCAGAGGCUUUGAAGCAGUUGAAAUCACACGUGACCAUGUUUGGUGCCUGGGUUGUUGUGCUCCGUCUCACUCCUUAUGUUCUUCAUUAUCUCUCUGAUGAAAAAGAUGAGCUCAAGCUCGAGUUCUAGAUCCCUUCUUUCUUUCUAAAGGGUUCCUGGAGGAGACGAAUUCUUUCGAGAUGAAGAUGAGUGUCUGACCUUCUAUCUAUUUUCAUUCUUUUUUCCUUCAGAUGAAAGUAUGUGAGGUUAGCUUGUCCUUACAUUAGGUCAUCAUUUCUAGCUGCUUAUGAUUUUGGAGAUUCAUUACUUUGAUACUAAAUAAUGGCUGAUUAAGGAUUUAAUCCAUGGAAUGUACUUUUGGUUUCAUUGUAGUAGCAUAGAAAGUUUAUUUUUGUGUUAUUUC